UUUUAAUCUAUAUACACAAUUUAAGAAAAGAUCCCUUGUGAUACAUUUAUACACCGUUCUUACCUUAAAUACUCUCAAUGUCAACAUCCCAUUUUAGUCAACAUCGUCAUGAAGUAACCACGCAAUGGAGGAAUUAAUGGAAACACGCAUAGCAGUAAUAUUAUACUUCCUGUAUUUGUGUGUUGACAUGUAACACCAGCAUGAGCAUCAGUGAGUGGAAUACUGGAGUCUCUAUACUGAGAAAUGCUGUGUCAUUGUCUUAGAGCCUCAGUGCACACACACUACAGUGAACACAUGGAAACAGAUGAGCUGGACUUCAAGUUUAAUUGGUAAAGACAACAUAAAAGUGGAACUAUGCUGUGACGUCUAUUCUCUGCACUGCGCAGAGCCGCUGAGUGGAUAGCUUCUUGUUGUUGCUCCUCAAAGAAGAACGGGGCAGCAUCAGGAUGACUGUACAAGUGUAAAGGACGGAACGUGUGGACAGUCUCUAGUGAUGGAACAACGUCCAGUCCAGAUCCAUCCUAAAUGGAGAGAGGCUCACAUUUCCACUCCACCUUAUGUCUGAAAGCUUAUUUUCUUAACUCAUGCUGAUCAACAGUUGCUCUGCGCUUGUUAUAAUGACGACUUGUCCGAAAACUCCUUGUUGGGAAGUUGGAUUAUGUUUGACAGCUGACAAGUGCAGCAGUGGCUCAGAGUCGACUGUAUCCACCAGUUAUUUACAUGGUAAACACGCAGUGUGGUCAGCACAGUAAAAAAUCAAUCCAAUGAAUUUAAGAAAUGGUUGUUAAGAUCUUUCAACCGUCAUUAAAAUGUUGUUACACCUUUGC